rnacentral:rRNA from 1 species
CCUACGGGAGGCUGCAGUGGGGAAUAUUGCACAAUGGGGGAAACCCUGAUGCAGCGACGCCGCGUGAGUGAAGAAGUAUUUCUGUAUGUAAAGCUCUAUCAGCAGGGAAGAAAAUGACGGUACCUGAUUAAGAAGCCCCGGCUAACUACGUGCCAGCAGCCGCGGUAAUACGUAGGGGGCAAGCGUUAUCCGGAUUUACUGGGUGUAAAGGGAGCGUAGUCGGCAGCACAAGUCUGGAGUGAAAUGCCGGGGCUUAACCCCGGAACUGCUUUGGAAACUGUGCAGCUAGAGUGUAGGAGAGGUAAGCGGAAUGUCUAGUGUAGCGGUGAAAUGCGUAGAGAUUAGGAGGAACACCAGUGGCGAAGGCGGCUUACCGGACUAUAACUGACGUUGAGGCUCGAAAGCGUGGGUAGCAAACAGGAUUAGAUACCCCAGUAGUC